rnacentral:rRNA from 1 species
UACGUAGGGAGCAAGCGUUGUCCGGAAUCAUUGGGCGUAAAGCGCGCGUAGGUGGCUUCGUAAGUCCGUUGUGAAAGUCAAAGGCUCAACCUUUGAAUGCCGAUGGAUACUGCGGAGCUAGAGUACGGAAGAGGCGAGUGGAAUUCCUGGUGUAGCGGGUGGAAUGCGCAGAUAUCAGGAGGAACACCAAUAGCGAAGGCAGCUCCGCUGGGACGUUACUGACACUAAGGCGCGAAAGCGUGGGGAGCGAACGAGG